rnacentral:rRNA from 1 species
UGAAGAAGGCCUUCGGGUUGUAAAGCCCUUUUGUUGGGAAAGAAAUCCUGUUGAUUAAUACUCGGCAGGGAUGACGGUACCCAAAGAAUAAGCACCGGCUAACUUCGUGCCAGCAGCCGCGGUAAUACGAAGGGUGCAAGCGUUACUCGGAAUUACUGGGCGUAGAGCGUGCGUAGGUGGUUGUUUAAGUCUGUCGUGAAAGCCCUGGGCUCAACCUGGGAACUGCGAUGGAUACUGGGCAACUAGAGUGUGGUAGAGGGUGGCGGAAUUCCCGGUGUGGCAGUGAAAUGCGUAGAGAUCGGGAGGAACAUCCGUGGCGAAGGCGGCCACCUGGGCCAACACUGACACUGAGGCACGAAAGCGUGGGGAGCAAACAGGAUUAGAUACCCUGGUAGUCCACGCCCUAAACGAUGCGAACUGGAUGUUGGGUUCAACUUGGAACCCAGUAUCGAAGCUAACGCGUUAAGUUCGCCGCCUGGGGAGUACGGUCGCAAGACUG